rnacentral:rRNA from 1 species
AACGAACGCUGGCGGCAUGCCUAACACAUGCAAGUCGAACGAGACCUUCGGGUCUAGUGGCGCACGGGUGCGUCACGCGUGGGAACCUGCCCUUAGGUUCGGAAUAACUCCCCGAAAGGGGUGCUAAUACCGGAUAAUGUCUUCGGACCAAAGAUUUAUCGCCUUUGGAUGGGCCCGCGUUGGAUUAGCUAGUUGGUAGGGUAAAAGCCUACCAAGGCGACGAUCCAUAGCUGGUCUGAGAGGAUGAUCAGCCACACUGGGACUGAGACACGGCCCAGACUCCUACGGGAGGGAGCAGUGGGGAAUAGUGGACAGUGGGCGAAAGCCUGAUCCAGCAAUGCCGCGUGAGUGAUGAAGGCCUUAGGGUUGUAAAGCUCUUUUACCCGGGAUGAUAAUGACAGUACCGGGAGAAUAAGCGCCGGCUAACUCCGUG